UACGAAGGGGGCUAGCGUUGCUCGGAAUCACUGGGCGUAAAGCGCGCGUAGGCGGAUCUUUAAGUCAGGGGUGAAAUCCCAAGGCUCAACCUUGGAACUGCCUUUGAUACUGGGGAUCUCGAGUCCGGAAGAGGUGAGUGGAACUGCGAGUGUAGAGGUGAAAUUCGUAGAUAUUCGCAAGAACACCAGUGGCGAAGGCGGCUCACUGGUCCGGUACUGACGCUGAGGUGCGAAAGCGUGGGGAGCAAACAGG
rnacentral:rRNA from 1 species